GAUGAACGCUGGCGGCGUGCCUAAUACAUGCAAGUCGAGCGAACGGACGAGAAGCUUGCUUCUCUGAUGUUAGCGGCGGACGGGUGAGUAACACGUGGAUAACCUACCUAUAAGACUGGGAUAACUUCGGGAAACCGGAGCUAAUACCGGAUAAUAUUUUGAACCGCAUGGUUCAAAAGUGAAAGACGGUCUUGCUGUCACUUAUAGAUGGAUCCGCGCUGCAUUAGCUAGUUGGUAAGGUAACGGCUUACCAAGGCGACGAUGCAUAGCCGACCUGAGAGGGUGAUCGGCCACACUGGAACUGAGACACGGUCCAGACUCCGACGGGAGGCAGCAGUAGGGAAUCUGCCGCAAUGGGCGAAAGCCUGACGGAGCAACGCCGCGUGAGUGAUGAAGGUCUUCGGAUCGUAAAACUCUGUUAUUAGGGAAGAACAUAUGUGUAAGUAACUGUGCACAUCUUGACGGUACCUAACCAGAAAGCCACGGCUAACUACGUG
rnacentral:rRNA from 1 species